AGGGACACCCAGGACCAGGUUGGUCCCCCAUGGUAACCACACUGCAAUGGAUUCACUGUGUACCCAGCCGCCUUGGCACAGAGACUGGACAGAGUUGCCAUCUAUGAGGAAUUCCUGCGGCUGACCAGAAGGGUACCCAGCUGCAGAACUUUACCCUGGACGGAAAGAAUGUCCUUGGGGAUGAAUAUUCUGCCAACAGAGAUGACACCUUGACUGAGAAGCCUGGUAAACCUGCAGGAAGCCCCAGCCCAUGGUAGGGGGCGAGUAUCUUGAUGCUGUGCCUCAUUGAAGAGAACCAUGCGCACAGGGUCUUGGAUGAUGAGGAAAGUU